GACGAACGCUGGCGGCGUGCUUAACACAUGCAAGUCGAACGGUGAAGCGCCUUCCUUUUUGGUGGGUGUGGAUGAGUGGCGAACGGGUGAGUAACACGUGAGUAACCUGCCCCCUUCUUCUGGAUAACCGCAUGAAAGUGUGGCUAAUACGGGAUAUUCUGGGUCUGUCGCAUGAUGGGUCUGGGAAAGAUAUUGUUUCGGUGGGGGAUGGGCUCGCGGCCUAUCAGCUUGUUGGUGGGGUGAUGGCCUACCAAGGCGGUGACGGGUAGCCGGCCUGAGAGGGUGGACGGUCACACUGGGACUGAGACACGGCCCAGACUCCUACGGGAGGCAGCAGUGGGGAAUAUUGCACAAUGGGCGCAAGCCUGAUGCAGCGACGCCGCGUGAGGGAUGGAGGCCUGUGGGUUGUGAACCUCUUUCGCCAGUGAAGCAGGCCUGCCUCGUUUGUGGGUGGGUUGACGGUAGCUGGAUAAGAAGCGCCGGCUAACUACGUG
rnacentral:rRNA from 1 species